CAGAACGAACGCUGGCGGCGUACUUAACACAUGCAAGUCGGACGAGAAAAGAGACUUCGGUCUCCAAGUAUAGUGGCGCACGGGUGCGUAACACGUAAGUAAUCUACCCCGGACUCUGGGAUAACCCUCCGAAAGAAGGGCUAAGACCGGAUAGGGUCCCCGAGGUAUAGGCUGCGGGGGGGAAAACAGGCCUCUAUUUUAAGCUUGUGGUUCGGGAUGAGCUUGCGGCCCAUUAGCUGGUUGGUAGGGUAACGGCCUACCAAGGCGACGAUGGGUAGCUGGUCUGAGAGGAUGAUCAGCCACACUGGCACUGAGACACGGGCCAGACUCCUACGGGAGGCAGCAGUGGGGAAUUUUGCGCAAUGGGCGAAAGCCUGACGCAGUAACGCCGCGUGGAGGAUGAAGGCCUUCGGGUUGUAAACUCCUGUCAGAGGGAACGACGGGGUAGGAGCGAUAAGCUCCUACUUCCAGACGGUACCUUCAAAGGAAGCCCCGGCUAAUUCCGUGCCAGCAGCCGCGGUAA
rnacentral:rRNA from 1 species